CCUANGGGAGGCAGCAGUCGGGAAUUUUCCACAAUGGGCGCAAGCCUGAUGGAGCAACGCCGCGUGCAGGAUGAAGGCUUUCGGGUCGUAAACUGCUUUUAUGUGCGAAGAAUUUGACGGUAACACAUGAAUAAGGGUCGACUAACUACGUGCCAGCAGCCGCGGUCAUACGUAGGACCCAAGCGUUAUCCGGAAUUACUGGGCGUAAAGAGUUGCGUAGGUGGUUUACCAAGUGGAGCGUGAAAGAGUAUGGCUCAACCAUACAACUGCGUUCCAAACUGGUAGACUUGAGUAUGAGAGGGGUAGAUGGAAUUUCUAGUGUAGGAGUGAAAUCCGUAGAUAUUAGAAGGAACACCGAUAGCGUAGGCAGUCUACUGGCUCAUUACUGACACUAAGGCACGAAAGCGUGGGGAGCAAACGGGAUUAGAUACCCGANUANUC
rnacentral:rRNA from 1 species